AGAGUUUGAUCAUGGCUCAGGAUGAACGCUGGCGGCGUGCCUAACACAUGCAAGUCGAGCGAGAAUGCGAAAGUGGAGUCUUCGGACAAAGCGAUUGCAGGAGAGCGGCGGACGGGUGAGUAACGCGUGGGUAACCUACCUCAUACAACGGGAUAACGCAUAGAAAUGUGUGCUAAUACCGUAUAAGACCACACUAUGGCAUCAUAGAGUGGUAAAAACUCCGGUGGUAUGAGAUGGACCCGCGUCUGAUUAGCUAGUAGGUAGUGUAAUGGACUACCUAGGCGACGAUCAGUAGCCGGCCUGAGAGGGUGAACGGCCACAUUGGAACUGAGACACGGUCCAAACUCCUACGGGAGGCAGCAGUGGGGAAUAUUGCACAAUGGGCGAAAGCCUGAUGCAGCAACGCCGCGUGAAGGAAGAAGGUUUUCGGAUCGUAAACUUCUAUCAGCAAGGAAGAUAAUGACGGUACUUGACUAAGAAGCCCCGGCUAACUACGUGCCAGCAGCCGCGGUAAUACGUAGGGGGCAAGCGUUAUCCGGAAUUACUGGGUGUAAAGGGUGCGUAGACGGUAAUGUAAGUCAGGUGUGAAAGCCCGAAGCUCAACUUCGGGACUGCACUUGAAACUACAUAACUAGAGUACAGGAGAGGAAAGUGGAAUUCCUAGUGUAGCGGUGAAAUGCGUAGAUAUUAGGAGGAACACCAGUGGCGAAGGCGACUUUCUGGACUGUAACUGACGUUGAGGCACGAAAGCGUGGGGAGCGAACAGGAUUAGAUACCCUAGUAGUCC
rnacentral:rRNA from 1 species